AGUUUGAUCCUUGGCUCAGGAUGAGCGCUAGCUACAGGCUUAACACAUGCAAGUCGAGGGGAAACGACAUCGAAAGCUUGCUUUUGAUGGGCGUCGACCGGCGCACGGGUGAGUAACGCGUAUCCAACCUGCCCACCACUUGGGGAUAACCUUGCGAAAGUAAGACUAAUACCCAAUGAUAUCUCUAGAAGACAUCUGAAAGAGAUUAAAGAUUUAUCGGUGAUGGAUGGGGAUGCGUCUGAUUAGCUUGUUGGCGGGGUAACGGCCCACCAAGGCGACGAUCAGUAGGGGUUCUGAGAGGAAGGUCCCCCACAUUGGAACUGAGACACGGUCCAAACUCCUACGGGAGGCAGCAGUGAGGAAUAUUGGUCAAUGGGCGAGAGCCUGAACCAGCCAAGUAGCGUGCAGGAUGACGGCCCUAUGGGUUGUAAACUGCUUUUAUAAGGGAAUAAAGUGAGUCUCGUGAGACUUUUUGCAUGUACCUUAUGAAUAAGGACCGGCUAAUUCCGUGCCAGCAGCCGCGGUAAUACGGAAGGUCCGGGCGUUAUCCGGAUUUAUUGGGUUUAAAGGGAGCGUAGGCCGGAGAUUAAGCGUGUUGUGAAAUGUAGAUGCUCAACAUCUGAACUGCAGCGCGAACUGGUUUCCUUGAGUACGCACAAAGUGGGCGGAAUUCGUGGUGUAGCGGUGAAAUGCUUAGAUAUCACGAAGAACUCCGAUUGCGAAGGCAGCUCACUGGAGCGCAACUGACGCUGAAGCUCGAAAGUGCGGGUAUCGAACAGGAUUAGAUACCCUGGUAGUCCGCACGGUAAACGAUGGAUGCCCGCUGUUGGUCUGAAUAGGUCAGCGGCC
rnacentral:rRNA from 1 species